UUUAGAUAGGUAAGUAUAAAAUAAACUCCAGAUAGACUUAAUUCCAAGUCUUUCUGGAGCAGCAAGUUCUUUAUUGCUUGGGGUGGGGUGUCAACCCUCAGAAGAGAAGGUGGAGGAUCAGCCUUCUAUGUCCUCCUGAGCCAGCCAGGCACCGUUGUGUCCUCUGGAAAAAAAAGGGGGCAAGGAUGCCAUUGUGGUGACAUUGGAUUGCCUCAUAUAAUGACCAGGAUGGAGCCCAGCUGCUGGUCCUGAUUCUUGAGGCAUCCGUAGACACGAUAUUUCAUUCUUAUGUAUUACAAAUACUUCAAAGGCCCUCUUAUUCCUUCUAGACUAGAGUCUAGAGUUGCACUGUACGGUACAAUAGCCACCAACCACAGGUGGUUAUUUAAGUUUAAAUUAGUUAAUAUUAAAUAAAACUAACACUUUAGUUCCUCAGUCACACUAGCUACAUUUCCAGUGGUCCCUGUGACUAGUGGCUCCCUGUUGGACAGCACAGGUACACAACAUCAUUCCCUCACUGCAGAAUGGUUCUUGGACAGCACCGGUGUCUGGACACUUACUCCGCAGUCCAUUUGGGUCAGAGUUUGUGCUUAAGAUCAGAACAAUAAACGGUGCCUCACACCACAUCCUUUAACUUCUAUGCAUGCCACACAGCAUGGCCCAGUCAAAUCACUUUGUUUAAAGGGAGACAGUUUCACUUAGGUAAAAUUGUAUUUCUGAAUUCCCUUUUUUGUCUUCUUCACUGAGCAUGUAUGAAAUAACCCAAGUAGAACAGACAUUUGAAACUUGGGGGAAAAUGAAGAUAAAGGAAUAUACCUGAAGGAGGAGCAGAUGACUGAGGUCUUCAGCAAAGUGAUGGGCCCUGCAGGCGGCGGCUGGAGACUCAGGACUUCGAAGUGACAAAAAAGGUGGAAAUUUGUCCACAUUAUGCUCAUGGGGACAUGCAGAUCGCUCCACACUCUCGUGUGCACCGCUGUGUGAGUGCCCCUCUUGGACAGGAACAGCACACGAAGGACUCCAGGAACAGCUUGCUGAGAGGGUAAGUCCCAUCUUCCUCCCAUGCUCGGCUCUAGCCGUAAUGAGAAACAGAGACACAGCACAGCUCCUGGGGUCUGGAGUCCAGGGCAGACAUGCUGUUUUGGCACCAGCAUAUUUUGGGAGGCCAGGUCUCCCUCUGAAAGCAGAGGGAAGGGAAAAAGAGUUAUUUGGUGAGUUUAAAUAAAUUAAUUCUCAGCAGACUUGGAGAGAAAGAACAUAAAAGCAGACCAGGCGAACAAGUUUGAAAUGGCUCUGUCAAUAACCAACAAAACUGGAGGAGAGAAAAGGUGGCAAUCAUUGCUCAAACAAGUUUCUCCUUCCCUCCAAGAAAUGAGGUGUGGUGUAUGGAAUCCAUUGUUGCUAAUUGUAAACAGGUGCAUCUUAAACCCUUGAUGCCAACCUGCUCAAACAUGUUGGGACCCUUCGGCUUACCUGGUAGCUAAUUACCUGUGCGUUCUGAUUGGUGAGGGGAAGUGCAGCUGGUAUCGCAGGCAAGUGGAGUUAUUAUGGGAAGACAGACUCCACCUGCACUCGUGUUUAGACCUGCGAGUCGCUCAGGGACAGGCCUUUGAUGGAGCUAUGCACGUCUUUAUUCCCCCUCACCUAUCAAGGCUAUGCUUGACACCCAGAGAUGCUUAAUCAGGAUAUGAAGGUAUCACAUUUAGCCGAUAGAGCUAUGGGAAAUAUUUUUAUCCUUUUAGUAAUUUACUAAUUCUCAGAAUGCUGAUGCAAACCAAUCAUAGGAUGUCAUUUUGGCCGAUGGUCCUCAGAUUACAUACAUGGAUGAUUUUUGUAUGACAGAUUUGGAUUAACAUGUUGCUUCUUGUUAUAUUCCUGAACCUGUGUCUUAACCUGCUGUAUUUCCCGCCAAUUUAUUCCUCUUUUAUAGGGCCUAUUGCUAGGGCUAAAUUCCUACAAUUUAUACUUAAUUCUCAGAAAUAGUUUGUAAAUUUCCGGCCUUGUGAACUUACCACUAAAUUGGGUUAAGAGAUCUUUAUAUAGACUGGUCCAGAGGUGAACACUGUGAAGACAAUGAAACAGAGCUUCGGGGUCCUUCAUUUGCAAGUGAGACCUUUAAAAGCCCCGAACCUAAUUUUGUAUGCAUAGCAUUGUAUUUUUACAUUCAAAAUGAGGAUUUUUGGAAUGAUAUAAGUUAUGAGUCCCUUUAAAUAUAUAUCUGCCCC
rnacentral:lncRNA from 1 species